rnacentral:rRNA from 1 species
UUCCGGAGGAAGGGAGAUCUCCGGUAAAUACUGCCCGGUGCCUCGCGGGGUAAACGGUGGCCGUAAAGGGUCCAAAGGUAGCGAAAUUCAUUGUCUCUUAAUUAGAGUCCCGCAUGAAGUACUAACGAGGGGGAAACUGUCUCUUCAGGGUGGUAGAUGAAAAUGACCUGUAGGUGCAAAUGCCUAUAUACAACUAAAAGGCGAUGAGACCCCGCGAAACUUUAUCCGGCGGGUGGAUUCAGUCUGUCUUUUGGGUUUGGCUGGGGAAGCAGGGGGAUAAAUAAAACUCCCACUAUUUAUUAGAGCUGACGGGCUAGGACCUGUUAAAUUAACAAUAAGUGGGUCAGUUACUCCGGGGAUAACAGCGCGUUCCCCCAAUGGAGGCCAUAUCGGUUGGGGAUCGGGCGACCUCGAUGUUGAAUCAAGGGGAAUCGGUAGGUGCAGCCGCUUAUCGGUGGGUCUGUUCGACCUUUAGAGCCUU